rnacentral:rRNA from 6 species
UCUGACCUCAAAUCAGGUAGGACUACCCGCUGAACUUAA